CCCUUGCUGGUCUGGUGGCUAGGAUUCCUGGUUCUCAGCCAGGCUACCUAGGUUCAAUUCCUGGGCAGGGAA
rnacentral:tRNA from 1 species